UGCGUGACCCUAUUCUAGCUCCAGCAGGGUCGCCUCGUCAUUGUAGCAGCUCCCUCUCACUCACAUCCUCCUCGACAGCCCUCUUCUCCUCCCGCUCCUCCGCAUCCCUCCACACAUACCCAGGUAGCCAGACGACCUAGAAAAUGUCUUACGCGGGGAAUGCGCUGGUGAUAUUAUUCGGAGUCCUGAUGCUGCAUUCGGGCUUCGCUCAGAACGAACCAUCAAUUGAGUCAACGGAUCACAUGAUUCUACCCAUGGGUUACCACAGCCCACCAAUCACGCUUCAGUGCAACCUUACAGCUUCCCAAAGUAAACACCAAGAGAGCUUCUGGAUGAAGAACGGGGAGGAGAUCCCUGACACAAGGGGCAAUGACAAAAACACAGAAUACAAACUUAAUAAACCAAGGCCAGAGGAUUCGGGCGAGUAUAUGUGUGUGUACACGUUCGAUUCGGCCCCCGCAGCAAAUGCCACUAUUGAGGUAAAAGCUACACCAGACAUCACGGGGCACAAGCGCAGCGAGAAUAAGAAUGAGGGUGAAAAAGCUGUCCUCUACUGCAAAUCCAUGGGUUAUCCUUAUCCCAUGUGGAGCUGGCGCAAACUUGAUAACGGCGUCAGUAUGGAAAUUGACAACGCCUCUGGCCGCUUCUUCAUCAGCAGCAAGGAUGGCUACACCGAGCUGUCCAUCAUCAACCUAGACAUCAACUCCGACCCCGGAGAGUACGAGUGCAACGCCACCAACAUUAUCGGCUCCAACUCCAUGCCAUCAGUUCUGCGCGUCAGGAGCCGCCUGGCCCCCCUGUGGCCCCUGCUGGGGGUCCUCGCCGAGAUCAUCAUUCUGGUGCUGAUCAUCGUCAUCUACGAGAAGCGCAAGAAGCCUGAUGAUGUUCCAGACGGUGAGUUUAAAAGGAUGACGAACCAGCUGGGCCAAUGAAAACUAAUUCCACCAACAACCACAAAGAUAAAAACCUACGUCAGAGAAAUACAAAUUGAUUUCAUUAUCACAAGAUUAAGACAUUCACAUCAUGACCACAUGAACGUUACUCAUGAACAGCACAUUGGUAAUCAAAUCAAAGGUGGAGGAGUUAAAUGGAAGACCGGAAGAAAUGAGCACCUGAGGCAUGCCUUAUAAAUCUGGUGUGAGGAGGAAGAGAGAACAGAACGGAACCUGAUUCUGAACAUUUUCUUGCAUGAUUGUGUUGCUUUUUCUUUAGAAUCACUUUUAUUCAAGUCAACUUUUUCCAUGUCAGACAAAAGUACAAAAAUAAUAAUUGCAUGCAAGAUAAUUACUGUUUGAUACAGGCUUUUUUUUUUUUUUUUGUGUAUUUAUGAAUGACUUCUGUUCAAGCAAGCCUUUAACUUAUCGCAAAUAUGCCACCAUGAUUCUGGUAUGACAGUUUUUGUACAGAUUAUCAUAUUACUGUAUACCAUUUGGUAAGGUGGCAUAUGAUUCUAUCAAUCAAUUAAGGGCUUUGCGAAAUGUCCUGCCAUGUUUAAUUUGUACAUGUAUUGUACAUUGAUGUAUGAAAUCACUUGAAAUAUCUAUAGUUACCUGAAUGUUCUUCAUAAUGAUGCACUUAUCUCUUCAAAUAUUCUUGCAAACCAGUGACUUCAUUUUAUACUUAUGUACCUUAUCUGUCUCUAAGUCAACAUGGCUGAUUGCUUUUUAUGUAUGCAUAGUAUACAGCAUGGCUUUUAUUCUAUGCAAUAUCUAUACAUACAGUAGAACAAACCUUUUUUUUUUUUUAAUGUAAGCUUUUGGUUGUGUAUAAUUAAGCUUUAAUAUUAUACGUUAGCAAAGUGCACUGUUCAAGCCAUGAAAAACAAUCCACAUGGUUUAAAACAUCACUGCAUGAGCUCCUUACACAUAUAAAGGGUCUAUUAAGUCAGAAUGUGAAGAGAAAUUAAUAUUAUCUCAAUUGACUAAGGCAUAUACAUGUCAUUUUUAACAAUUAAAAUAUCCAAAUUCAAAUGCGUUGUCCUUUU